GGGGAAUAUUGCACAAUGGGCGCAAGCCUGAUGCAGCGACGCCGCGUGGGGGAUGACGGCCUUCGGGUUGUAAACCUCUUUCAGCCAUGACGAAGCGCAAGUGACGGUAAUGGCAGAAGAAGCACCGGCCAACUACGUGCCAGCAGCCGCGGUAAUACGUAGGGUGCGAGCGUUGUCCGGAAUUACUGGGCGUAAAGAGCUCGUAGGUGGUUUGUCGCGUUGUCCGUGAAAACUCACAGCUUAACUGUGGGCGUGCGGGCGAUACGGGCAGACUAGAGUACUGCAGGGGAGACUGGAAUUCCUGGUGUAGCGGUGGAAUGCGCAGAUAUCAGGAGGAACACCGGUGGCGAAGGCGGGUCUCUGGGCAGUAACUGACGCUGAGGAGCGAAAGCGUGGGGAGCGAAC
rnacentral:rRNA from 1 species